rnacentral:rRNA from 1 species
GAUGAACGCUAGCGGCAGGCUUAACACAUGCAAGUCGAGGGGUAUAUAGUUUUCGGAUUAUAGAGACCGGCAAACGGGUGCGGAACACGUACGCAAUCUGCCUCUGUCUUGGGGAUAGCCCAUAGAAAUGUGGAUUAAUACCCAAUAGUAUUAUAGAGUGGCAUCACUUAGUAAUUAAAGAUUUAUUGGACAGAGAUGAGCGUGCGUCCCAUUAGCUAGUUGGUGCGGUAACGGCGUACCAAGGCGACGAUGGGUAGCUGGUGUGAGAGCACGACCAGCCACACGGGCACUGAGACACGGGCCCGACUCCUACGGGAGGCAGCAGUGAGGAAUAUUGGUCAAUGGGCGGAAGCCUGAACCAGCCAUGCCGCGUGAAGGAUGAAGGCGUUCUGCGUUGUAAACUUCUUUUAUUUGGGAAGUAAAUUGUGGUUUCUACUGCAACCGACGGUACCAGAUGAAUAAGCACCGGCUAACUCCGUAGCCAGCAGCCGCGGUAAU